UGGCGACGGGUGAGUAAUGUCUGGGAAACUGCCUGAUGGAGGGGGAUAACUACUGGAAACGGUAGCUAAUACCGCAUAACGUCGCAAGACCAAAGAGGGGGACCUCGGGCCUCUUGCCAUCGGAUGUGCCCAGAUGGGAUUAGCUAGUAGGUGGGGUAACGGCUCACCUAGGCGACGAUCCCUAGCUGGUCUGAGAGGAUGACCAGCCACACUGGAACUGAGACACGGUCCAGACUCCUACGGGAGGCAGCAUG
rnacentral:rRNA from 1 species